rnacentral:rRNA from 1 species
GACGAACAGUGCGAACGUUGUUCGGAAUCACUGGGCAUAAAGGGCGCGUAGGCGGUGCAACCAGUAAGGGGUGAAAGCUCCCGGCCCAACCGGGAAAGUGCCUUUGAUACUGUGGAUCUCGAGGGAGGUAGGGGCACGCGGAACUCCCGGUGUAGCGGUGAAAUGCGUAGAUAUCGGGAGGAACAUCAGUGGCGAAGGCGGCCUUCUGGUCCAGUACUGACACUCAAGUGCGAAAGCGUGGGGAGCAAACAGG